AUACGGAGGGUGCAAGCGUUAUCCGGAUUUAUUGGGUUUAAAGGGUCCGCAGGCGGACUAAUAAGUCAGUGGUGAAAUCUCUCGGCUCAACCGAGAAACUGCCAUUGAUACUGUUAGUCUAGAGUGUAGUUGGCGUAGGCGGAAUAUAUCAUGUAGCGGUGAAAUGCUUAGAUAUGAUAUAGAACACCGAUCGCGAAGGCAGCUUACGAAACUACAACUGACGCUCAGGGACGAAAGCGUGGGGAGCGAACAGGAUUAGAUACCCUAGUAGUCC
rnacentral:rRNA from 1 species